rnacentral:rRNA from 1 species
GAUUGCCUCAGUAACGGCGAGUGAAGCGGCAACAGCUCAAAUUUGAAAUCUGGCCUCUUCGGGGUCCGAGUUGUAAUUUGUAGAGGAUGUUUCGGGUACCGCCUCGGUUUAAAUUUCUUGGAACAGAAUGUCAGAGAGGGUGAGAAUCCCGUCUUGGACCGGCGGUAGGGCCCAUGUGAAACUCCUUCGACGAGUCGAGUUGUUUGGGAAUGCAGCUCAAAAUGGGUGGUAAAUUUCAUCUAAAGCUAAAUAUUGGCCAGAGACCGAUAGCGCACAAGUAGAGUGAUCGAAAGAUGAAAAGAACUUUGAAAAGAGAGUUAAACAGUAUGUGAAAUUGUUGAAAGGGAAGCGCUUACAACCAGACUUGAGCGCGGCGGUUCCCCCUUCCUUUUGGUUGGGUUACUCCGCCGUGUCCAGGCCAACAUCGGUUCUGGGGGUCGGUUAAAGGCCUGGGGAAUGUAUCUACUCCUUCGGGGGUAGACUUAUAGCCCCGGGUGUCAUGCGACCACCCGGGACCGAGGAACGCGCUUCGGCUCGGAUGUUGGCGUAAUGGUUGUCAGCGACCCGUCUUGAAACACGGACCAAGGAGUCUAACAUCUAUGCGAGUGUUUGGGUGUCAAACCCGGAACGCGAAAUGAAAGUGAACGGAGGUAGGAAGCCUUUAGGCUGCACUAUCGACCGAUCCUGAUGUCUUCGGAUGGAUUUGAGUAAGAGCAUAGCUGUUGGGACCCGAAAGAUGGUGAACUAUGCCUGAAUAGGGUGAAGCCAGAGGAAACUCUGGUGGAGGCUCGCAGCGGUUCUGACGUGCAAAUCGAUCGUCAAAUUUGGGUAUAGGGGCGAAAGACUAAUCGAACCAUCUGGUAGCUGGUUCCUGCCGAAGUUUCCCUCAGGAUAGCAGUAACGAAAUCAGUUUUAUGAGGUAAAGCGAAUGAUUAGAGGCCUUGGGGUUGAAACAACCUUAACCUAUUCUCAAACUUUAAAUAUGUAAGAAGCCCUUGUUGCUUAAUUGAACGUGGGCAUUUGAAUGUAUCGUUACUAGUGGGCCAUUUUUGGUAAGCAGAACUGGCGAUGCGGGAUGAACCGAACGUGAGGUUAAGGUGCCGGAAUGCACGCUCAUCAGACACCACAAAAGGUGUCAAUGCAUCUAGACAGCCGGACGGUGGCCAUGGAAGUCGGAAUCCGCUUAGGAGUGUGUAACAACUCACCGGCCGAAUGCAUUGGCCCUGAAAAUGGAUGGCGCUUAAGCGUGCUACCUAUACCUCGCCGUUAGGGUUGACAUGAUGCCCUAACGAGUAGGCAGGCGUGGAGGUCCGUGACGAAGC